rnacentral:rRNA from 1 species
AUGGGCGAAAGCCUGACGCAGCGACGCCGCGUGGGGGAUGAAGGCCUUCGGGUUGUAAACCCCUUUCAGCAGGGACGAAGCGCAAGUGACGGUACCUGCAGAAGAAGCGCCGGCUAACUACGUGCCAGCAGCCGCGGUAAUACGUAGGGCGCAAGCGUUGUCCGGAAUUAUUGGGCGUAAAGAGCUCGUAGGCAGUUUGUUACGUCCGCUGUGAAAACCCAGGGCUUAACCCUGGGCUUGCAGUGGAUACGGGCAGACUAGAGGUAGGUAGGGGAGAAUGGAAUUCCCGGUGUAGCGGUGAAAUGCGCAGAUAUCGGGAGGAACACCGGUGGCGAAGGCGGUUCUCUGGGCCUUACCUGACGCUGAGGAGCGAAAGCGUGGGGAGCGAACAGGAUUAGAUACCCUGGUAGUCCACGCCGUAAACGUUGGGCGCUAGGUGUGGGGUCCUUCCACGGAUUCCGUGCCGCAGCUAACGCAUUAAGCGCCCCGCCUGGGGAGUA